rnacentral:rRNA from 1 species
GUAGCAUAAUCAUUAGUUUUUUAAUUGAAAACUGGAAUGAAGGGUCGGACAAAGGAAAAGCUGUCUUUAUGAUGAAGAUUGAAAUUUACUUUUAAGUGAAAAGGCUUAAAUAUUUUAGGGGGACGAUAAGACCCUAUAAAGCUUUAUAUAUUAUUUAAAUUUGAUUGAUUUAUUGUAAUAAAAAUUAAUGUUAACUGUUAUAUUUUAUUGGGGAGAUGUGAGUAUAAUUAAUUUAACUGCUUUGUUAAAAUACACGGAUCGGUGAAUUAAAUUUUAAUGAUCCUUUAUAAAGAUUUAAAGACCAAGUUACUUUAGGGAUAACAGCGUUAUUCUUUUUGAGAGUUCGUAUCGAAAAAGGAGUUUGCGACCUCGAUGUUGAAUUAAAGUGUCUUUAUAGUGCAGCCGCUAUAAAAGAAAGUCUGUUCGACUAUUAAAAUUUU